GAGUCAUCCUCUAAUCCAGUCAAAGAAACAAGCAACACAAGGAAAAACAGAAGUUUCCACAUCGCAUGGGGCCAAUCAAUUUCGGAAGAGUACGAGUGGCUAUGGUAAAUAGUAGAUUUAUAUUAUAUUAGAAUUUAUAUUUGCAUAAAUUGAAGGAAGAAACCCAAGUAUGAUCUUGUUUUGCUGUGAGCAACAAAGGAAACAAACGAGGAACCAAAAAGGUUUGAGAUGUUCAUUGCUACCCGAACAAGUCGGAAGAGGAAAGAAGUGGAUGAGGAAACAUAAACUGCUGUUACUUCCAACACCGCCAAGCUGCUGGUGAAACAGAAGAGGAAGCAUUUGAGGCCUUAUUCGGGAAAGAACAACCAGGUCGGGUAAGUUUGUAUGGAAGAUCUGUGACAAAGACUGAUUUAAAAAAACAUGCUGAAAUUAAUGAAAUCAAGAAUCAGCACAAAGAGGAAGUGUCUAGUCUGAAGGAUAAACUUGGACACAUGGAGGCCCAACAGCAAAAACAAGAGGCCAAACAGCAAAAAGAAG